CAGUAGCCGCGGGAAUACAGAGGGUGCGAGCGUUAAUCGGAUUUACUGGGCGUAAAGCGUGCGUAGGCGGCUUUUUAAGUCGGAUGUGAAAUCCCUGAGCUUAACUUAGGAAUUGCAUUCGAUACUGGGAAGCUAGAGUAUGGGAGAGGAUGGUAGAAUUCCAGGUGUAGCGGUGAAAUGCGUAGAGAUCUGGAGGAAUACCGAUGGCGAAGGCAGCCAUCUGGCCUAAUACUGACGCUGAGGUACGAAAGCAGGGGGAGCAAACAGGAUUAGAUACCCCGGUAGUCCCUGUCUCUUAUAC
rnacentral:rRNA from 1 species